GGAGAGGUACCCAAGUGGCUUAAGGGGACGGUUUGCUAAACCGUUAGUGGGCGUAAGCCCAGCGAGGGUUCGAAUCCCUCUCUCUCCGCCA
rnacentral:tRNA from 2 species